UACGGGGGGGGGGCAAGCGUUGUUCGGAAUUACUGGGCGUAAAGGGCUCGUAGGCGGCCAACUAAGUCGGAUGUGAAAUCCCCAGGCUUAACCUGGGAACUGCAUCCGAUACUGGAUGGCUUGAAUCCGGGAGAGGGAUGCAGAAUUCCAGGUGUAGCGGUGAAAUGCGUAGAUAUCUGGAGGAAUACCGGUGGCGAAGGCGGCAUCCUGGACCGGCAUUGACGCUGAGGAGCGAAAGCUAGGGGAGCAAACGGG
rnacentral:rRNA from 1 species